GACGAACGCUGGCGGCGUGCCUAAUACAUGCAAGUCGAGCGGAACUGGGGGAGCUUGCUCCUUCCAGUUUAGCGGCGGACGGGUGAGUAACACGUGGGCAACCUGCCCUGCAGAUCGGGAUAACUCCGGGAAACCGGUGCUAAUACCGAAUAGUUUGGCGCCUCUCCUGAGGCGCCACGGAAAGACGGUUUCGCAUGUCACUGCAGGAUGGGCCCGCGGCGCAUUAGCUAGUUGGUGGGGUAACGGCCCACCAAGGCGACGAUGCGUAGCCGACCUGAGAGGGUGACCGGCCACACUGGGACUGAGACACGGCCCAGACUCCUACGGGAGGCAGCAGUAGGGAAUCUUCCGCAAUGGACGCAAGUCUGACGGAGCAACGCCGCGUGAGUGACGAAGGUUUUCGGAUCGUAAAACUCUGUUGUGAGGGAAGAACACGUACCAACUAACUAUUGGUACCUUGACGGUACCUCACCAGAAAGCCACGGCUAACUACGUGCCAGCAGCCGCGGUAA
rnacentral:rRNA from 1 species